ACGUUUCUUAGCGUUUUCUGUAAAUUGCUCAAAGUAGUUCAUUAGGGGAUCGUUUGACGCGAAGGGAUAGGUUGCGCCAGGUGUUUUAAAAACGUCCAAAAUACGUGAACUAAUGCGAGCAUUCGAAGUAUCUUCGUCAACUACACGCUUCGUAGUUUCAAUUUCGUCGGAAUCAAUUAAAAGUGCAGUCGAGACAGAAGAUAAACGCUUUAUUUUAGUUAGAAACAAAUAAAACUUGGAGAUAAUAGAAGGAAAUAACUCACUCUCUGUACUUCAGCGACAUCAUUAGGGACGGAUUCAACCAAUUCGGAAACAGUCCCCAACUUAGUUUGUAGUUCCUCUGCAAGUUGGAUUUGGCUAAAAAUUUCUUUGCUACGGACAUGAUUAGAACAAAUUUUGUACAUAAGGUAACACAUACUCUAAGUCAUCUAAAAAUUUUUGAGUAUUAGCGUUUAAGCUCGAGUAUCUCGUCGUUGCAUUAAUAGCUGGAUUAGAAGGGAGUUGCCUGUUUUUUUGUUAAUGAAAAAAAAAUUUAAUAAUUAACUUACGUUGUUGACGGUUGCUGCUGAGCUGCAGAAAAGAAUGGAGUAGUUUGAGUAUUAUUGCUUAAACCAAAACCAGUUGAACCAGACGGUUGUGUGGAUUGACCAAAAAGGCCAGCGGAAGCUGGUUGUGUAGAAAAUUGACCAAAAGUCGAAGUAUUAGGGCGGUUUUGAUCAAAUAGACCUCCUGUAGUUCCGAUGUUAGACUGUCCGAAAAGAGAAGUAUUUGCUUGAGCAGGCUGUGUUU